AUAAUACUCCCUCCGUCCCAAAAUUUUUGUCUUAAAUUUGCGUAAAUACAGAUGUAUCUAAUACUAAAACGUGACUUAAUACAUCUGUAUUUAGAAAAAUCUAAGACAAGAAUUUUGGGACAGAGGAGGUAGUAC
rfam:Triticum aestivum genome assembly, contig: Triticum_aestivum_CS42_TGACv1_scaffold_374353_5AL